rnacentral:rRNA from 1 species
AAUGACUCUCGGCAACGGAUAUCUCGGCUCUCGCAUCGAUGAAGAACGUAGCGAAAUGCGAUACUUGGUGUGAAUUGCAGAAUCCCGUGAACCAUCGAGUCUUUGAACACAAGUUGCGCCCGAAGCCUUUUGGCCGAGGGCACGUUUGCCUGGGCGU